CGGGGGGCAGCAGUGGGGAAUAUUGGACAAUGGGCGAAAGCCUGAUCCAGCCAUGCCGCGUGAGUGAAGAAGGCCUUCGGGUUGUAAAGCUCUUUCGACGGGGACGAUGAUGACGGUACCCGUAUAAGAAGCCCCGGCAAACUUCGUGCCAGCAGCCGCGGUAAUACGAAGGGGGCUAGCGUUGUUCGGAAUUACUGGGCGUAAAGCGAACGUAGGCGGUGUUCCAUGUCAGAGGUGAAAGCCUGGGGCUCAACUCCAGAAUUGCCUUUGAAACGGGGACGCUUGAGUCCGAGAGAGGAUGGCGGAAUUCCUAGUGUAGAGGUGAAAUUCGUAGAUAUUAGGAAGAACACCAGUGGCGAAGGCGGCCAUCUGGCUCGGUACUGACGCUCAGGUUCGAAAGCGUGGGGAGCAAACAGGAUUAGAUACCCGCGU
rnacentral:rRNA from 1 species